GAUGAAGAACGCAGCGAAAUGCGAUAAGUAGUGUGAAUUGCAGAAUUCAGUGAAUCAUCGAAUCUUUGAACGCACAUUGCGCCCUUUGGUAUUCCUUAGGGCAUGCCUGUUCGAGCGUCAUUUCAAACUUCAAGCCCCCCUCAUGGCUUGGUGUUGGGCGUCUGUCCUCCCUGGACUCGCCUCAAAUGCAUUGGCAGCCGGUACGUUGGCUUCGAGCGCAGCAGAAACGCGCGCGGCGUCCGACGGUGCCUGGCUCUCCAGGAAGCCUCCACCCCAAGUUUGACCUCGGAUCAGGUAGGGAUACCCGCUGAACUUAAGCAUAUCAAUAAGCGGAGGA
rnacentral:misc_RNA from 1 species